rnacentral:rRNA from 1 species
AACGAACGCUGGCGGCAUGCCUAACACAUGCAAGUCGAACGAGACCUUCGGGUCUAGUGGCGCACGGGUGCGUAACGCGUGGGAACCUGCCCUUAGGUUCGGAAUAACUCCCCGAAAGGGGUGCUAAUACCGGAUAAUGUCUUCGGACCAAAGAUUUAUCGCCUUUGGAUGGGCCCGCGUUGGAUUAGCUAGUUGGUAGGGUAAAAGCCUACCAAGGCGACGAUCCAUAGCUGGUCUGAGAGGAUGAUCAGCCACACUGGGACUGAGACACGGCCCAGACUCCUACGGGAGGCAGGAGUGGGGAAUAUUGGACAAUGGGCGAAAGCCUGAUCCAGCAAUGCCGCGUAAGUGAUGAAGGCCUUAGGGUUGUAAAGCUCUUUUACCCGGGAUGAUAAUGACAGUACCGGGAGAAUAAGCUCCGGCUAACUCCGUG